CUCGGGCUGCCGUGGGCUGCGCGGGGCCCGCGGUGUAGAGUCCGCCGCCCCGGAGCCGCGUCCCGCACCCGGACGGUCCCGAGCCAUGGGGGUGUUGAUGUCCAAGCGGCAGACAGUGGAGCAGGUGCAGAAGGGUCUGCACCAGGGUUUUCCAUGAUGGCUGCCUGCGCCGCAUGGGCUACAUCCAAGGAGACAGUGCAGCGGAGGUGACGGAGAUGGCCCACACAGAAACAGGCUGGAGCUGCCACUACUGUGACAACAUCAACUUGCUGCUUACUGAGGAGGAAAUGUAUAGCCUCACGGAGACCUUUCAGCGGUGUAAAGUCAUCCCUGAUUGCUCCCUGACACUGGAGGACUUUCUGCGCUACCGCCACCAAGCAGCCAAGCGGGGGGACCGUGACAGGGCCCUGAGUGAGGAGCAAGAAGAGCAGGCGGCCCGCCAGUUUGCUGCCCUGGACCCUGAACAUCGAGGCCACAUAGAGUGGCCUGACUUCUUGUCCCAUGAGUCCCUCCUGCUUCUGCAGCAGUUGCGUCCCCAGAACUCUCUGUUGAGGCUUCUGACAGUGAAGGAGCGGGAGCGAGCCCGAGCCGCCUUCCUGGCACGGGGCAGUGGGAUCACCGUCAGUGAGGCAGAGUGCCGCCAGGCCCAGCACUCUUGGUUUUGCAAACAGUUCCCAGAGGCUCCUUCCUGCAGUGUCAGCAUCAGCCAUGUGGGUCCCAUCGCGGAUAGCAGCCCAGCCAGCAGCAGCAGCAAGAGUCAGGACAAGACCCUGCUGCCCACAGAGCAGGAGUCCAGAUUUGUGGACUGGCCUACCUUCCUGCAAGAGAAUGUCCUCUACAUCCUGGCUGCUCGCCCCAACAGCGCAGCCAUUCACCUGAAGCCCCCAGGAUAGCAUGGAGCAGAGAAGCUCGGUUUGAGGACAGUGACAUCCUCUCCCUCCUUUCCUUUCUCCCUUCCCCCACCAACCUCUGGCACAGAGACUCAUGGGGUUGGGACACUGCCAGCAUCUUAAUUUGUCACUAAGCUUUAUGGCACUGAAAUCACCAUUCCCCUCACAAUAGAGGCAGUGAAUGCAUUGCCACAAGGAGAAGCCCUGGGAGCUGUGGCAGCAUCCUCUCCUGGACCGCCCCUGCCCCACAUCAUAGACGGGACCUGCCACCACACUUAUACACAUGUGCACAUGCUACCCAGCUGUCCAUGCCUUCAGAAGCCUGGUUCUUUUUGGUUGAGAAAGGACUAAAGUCCCUUUGUGAAGCCCCUGGUAUAGAGGAGGGGGUCUCUACUCACCCCUUCUAUAGGCAGGCCAGUUCUAAUUUCCAAUAGAUAAGUCUCUGGCCAAGUGAUUCUUAGGAAGGGGGCAUGUCAGACUCGCAUGCCUGCCUAGAGCUCCUGGAGAUCCUAAUGGGCCCCGCUUUCUCCACCAAAAAUCCCUUCUGCAGUCAGCUGCUGUUACUAGUAGGUGUGCAUUAUGUACCUCGGCUGUACUGAGUUGGGAAAAGAGUUAAACAUCACCACUGAAGUUCAGCCCUUUAUUUAUUUAAAUUCCAAUUCCUGGUGACAGAAAAGGCAACUAGCCUGGAGAAUCCUGACUGGAAGAGGGGGAGGCAGCCCUUCCCAGGGACUCGGGAUUCUAGGAACCUCUCAGUCAGGUCACCUGAGUCCAAAAGUCUUUAGCAGG
rnacentral:sRNA from 1 species